CACCCCUAGAGGUCUAAGUUUUAUAGACGUUGUUGGUUUAAAAUGUUGGAAAGUGGUGAACACUCAGCAAUGGGCUUAUAGUAAGGAAUGAUACCUACAGUGGUUGGCAUAAAAUUCCAGCGACUGUUCAAAGAAUUCUGAAUACCUAUAUUGCUGUGGAAAGGUACUGAGGCCACUAAUCACACUCCUCUUAUCAUCCUUUGCCAAGGUCUCCUGGUCAUGAGGAUACUGCAUAGAGAAGUCUGAGCCCUGGACUAUGCACAAGUGGAAAAGAUCCCAAAGGCAAGAACAGCAACCCUCUCACCUAGUCAGCCGGCAGAGAAGAUAGUAAAUGCCAAAUGAACACUGCAAAGAGAAAAUAAAGAGGAUACUCUCAACUCGUUUUACUUUAAAUUAC